GACGAACGCUGGCGGCGUGCUUAACACAUGCAAGUCGAACGGAAAGGCCCUGCUUUUGUGGGGUGCUCGAGUGGCGAACGGGUGAGUAACACGUGAGUAACCUGCCCUUGACUUUGGGAUAACUUCAGGAAACUGGGGCUAAUACCGGAUAGGAGCUCCUGCUGCAUGGUGGGGGUUGGAAAGUUUCGGCGGUUGGGGAUGGACUCGCGGCUUAUCAGCUUGUUGGUGGGGUAGUGGCUUACCAAGGCUUUGACGGGUAGCCGGCCUGAGAGGGUGACCGGCCACAUUGGGACUGAGAUACGGCCCAGACUCCUACGGGAGGCAGCAGUGGGGAAUAUUGCACAAUGGGCGGAAGCCUGAUGCAGCAACGCCGCGUGCGGGAUGAAGGCCUUCGGGUUGCAAACCGCUUUCGCCUGUGACGAAGCGUGAGUGACGGUAAUGGGUAAAGAAGCACCGGCUAACUACGUG
rnacentral:rRNA from 1 species